GACGAACGCUGGCGGCAUGCCUAAUACAUGCAAGUCGAGCGGACUUGAAGAGAAGCUUGCUCCUCUGAUGGUUAGCGGCGGACGGGUGAGUAACACGUAGGCAACCUGCCCUCAAGCUUGGGACAACUACCGGAAACGGUAGCUAAUACCGAAUACUUGUUUUCUUCGCCUGAAGGAAACUGGAAAGACGGAGCAAUCUGUCACUUGGGGAUGGGCCUGCGGCGCAUUAGCUAGUUGGUGAGGUAACGGCUCAUCAAGGCGACGAUGCGUAGCCGACCUGGGAGGGUGAUCGGCCACACUGGGACUGAGACACGGCCCAGACUCCUACGGGAGGCAGCAGUAGGGAAUCUUCCGCAAUGGGCGAAAGCCUGACGGAGCAAUGCCGCGUGAGUGAUGAAGGUUUUCGGAUCGUAAAGCUCUGUUGCCAGGGAAGAACGCUUGGGAGAGUAACUGCUCCCAAGGUGACGGUACCUGAGAAGAAAGCCCCGGCUAACUACGUGCCAGCCGCCGCAGUAA
rnacentral:rRNA from 1 species